GGCGACGAUCGGUCAGCAGGAGUGGGGCGGCGUCUGCGCGACGUGCCACGGCAACCUCGGGCAGGGCGGCCUCGGGCCGGCCAUCGCCAACAACGUCGUCCUCACGCAGGCGAGCGCGCUUGCCGGGGUCGUCCGCAACGGCGUCACCGGCACGCUGGGCGCGAUGCCGCCCGUCGCCGACACCUGGAACAAGGCACAGCUCGACGCCCUUGUGGCCUACGUCAAGAAGCACAUCUACAAGCCCGCGCCCUUGGGAGCCACCAGUGGCGGCUAGAUCAGACGUCGCCUAUCCCGUGGGCUGGAAGAGCGGCCGGGUCGCGAGCUGGCUCGUCACCGUCGACCACAAGCGGAUCGGGAUCAUGUACAUCGCGACGUCCAUCAUGUGGUUCGUCGCGGCCGG
rnacentral:misc_RNA from 1 species